rnacentral:lncRNA from 10 species
AUUAUCCUUAGGAAACCGUUUUAUUUAAACAGCAAAAGGCGGAUUCAUGAAGAUGUCUGCAAUAACAAAACAUAAUAAAGGGAUACAAAACUCCCCAAACCUAAAAUAUAUUGACUUGAUAAGAUAGUUUAAAGCAUUCAGAUAAGACAGGGUAGAAUAUGACAAUACUUUUAUAAUUGCAGAACCAUAGUAAAUAAAAAGAUAAUAAAAUGGCAUUUAAUGUUAUGUUUUUUGUCCAGUAAAUGGUAAACUUUAUUUAUUUGAUGGUUCUUGGAAAGUUGAAGAAAAAUCUCUUUGAAUUAUAAAAUUAUAGAGAUUAUACCUGAAUAAAAUUGAAAACUCUGCUAUGUUAAGUUGUGGAAUGUUAAGGCAAAUUAGUAUUACAUUUGCACCAUAUAUUCCAAGAAAUUCAAAAUUGCUCUAAAUUAUAAACACAGUAUUUCUUUCAAAUAAGUGGGUAUUGUUUGGUGGCUAUCUCAAUAUUUUUCAUGCAAGAAAAAUGAAGCCGAGAUUAUUUAAAUGACGUGUCACUUGUUUGAUACAACAGGAGAGGCUCUUUAACUCAACUUAACAAUGAUUUCCAAUGGGUUCAGCAGCAUCUAAUCAGAAACUUUCAAAGCAACCUUUUCUUUAUCUGCCAGACUUUGAAUAUGGAACACAGUGUGUUUUUUUUCACCAGGUAUUAUAUUAUAGCACUAUAAAGUCAUUCUGGAUGUCUAACUAUGACACUUCUUUGUACAAAGUUCACAGAUAUAAAAUUUUGAAAAAAUUUUGAGCCAGUAAAAUUUCUUCCAGAAGGCAAAAUUCCAUGAGGUUUUGUUUUUAAUAUCUGCAUACACACAGUUUUCAUCAUCAAAGCAAGUUAAUAGUAUUGCAAGAAAAAUAACUCUCAGGAUUAUACUAUAAUCACAUAGACUUUUCAGCAUUGACCCCUGCUGUUAUUAGGUGGAAUACUACUUUAAGUAUGGCUGCAAACACUUGUACCUAAUUGCACUUGUGAAGUAAAUAACAAUGCUUGGAUUGUGCCCUUUCCUGCUCCAAAGCUGUUUGCAGUUGUACCAACAAGUUGAUAGGUACGAUUUGACCUCUGGCUCACAAGUUUGAAAACAAAUGGCCCGUGCACAUUUCAGACAAUUAUUUCUUUAGAACAAUUUAUGUUGGUCCCAGCUUUUACGUAAGUAUUCUAUAAAAGAAAGGUGUUACGUAGUAUAAUGUUUCUACAGAAAUCUUUAACUCUUUAAAAGUUGGAAAGAAAAGUUAUGUCUUCAAAUAAGUUAUUUUUAAUUUUUCAAAGAAAAUGCUUCGUGAUUAUUUAUUUGACUUUGCACAGUCUAAAUUGAAAACUGAAACAAGUCUUUUUACUUAGAAAAAAAGAAUUAUCAAUUCUUUGAAUAGAUCUAAUAAUACUGAAUAGACCUAAUGUUUUAGAACUAUAUCUAUCUGUGCUUUCACAGAGCCAAGUUUGUGAGAUAGACACAACACUAAUUAAUAUUUCUCUUAUUCUUUUAAAAUGGGAAAAGUAAUAAAGAUAUUAGCCAAUUAUGUUUCUUAUUGCUCUCCUUAUGUUCUCAGACAUUUAGCUGUCCCUAAUUUAGCCUUCUCUCCUGCCUGCUUGCUUACAAACUCCCAAGUUCAUAUUUUAAGCAAUUUCAAUCAGGACAGAUUAAUAAAUCCCAGCCUAUUCAUGGGAAUUAACUAAUUCAGAAUGAAUCUUUCCUAAUUGUUUUGUGUUCACAUGGGUGUUUGCUUUGGCCCCUCUCCAAGCCUCCAGCCAAGGGAGAACAUUGUCUCACCACACCCAACUAAAAACAGAGUCAAGGAAUGAUUCCUUUGGUGAAAGCGUCACUGAAUAAGCAGUUUUAGCUUGGUGCGUGUGUGUGUGUUUUUUAAAAGGAGAUCUGUUUGUAGAUUGUCAACAAAGCAGUUUCCACAUAGAAGAAUACCAAUUCCUAUUGUUGCUUUUUUUCCUAGCAAUAACAUUCUGAAAUUUGCAAUCUUUAGCACCAAGUUUUUAAAAUCCUAAAUGACAUGUUGUUUUUUCCUGUAUGAAAGUUUUCUUAAAAAGCAAAUUGUAAUUAUUUUCUCAAUCGUUUUCUUUUUGUUUUUCACCUCUACCCUUCCAAAAUAACAUAAUUUCUGAUAGUGUCAUCUUUUAAAUUUUAAAAGCGCAUUCCUGAGUUAGCUCUUUCUUUUCAGAAGGCAAACAUUGGUGCUCCAGUAUAAAAACUAAAAGGUGCUGACACUAUUAUGGCACAGAACUUUUUACAUAGUUUCUUGCCCUUCUGCAUAUGAAAGUCCAGAAUUAGUUAUUACAUGGUUGGAUCUGGGGACUGUGUCUGAGCCCACCAGAGAAGCCUGGUCCAAGCUUCCCAUAUCAGGGAUCUCUUAAUUUUUGAAGAAUAAUGCAGAUUGGGGUGAGGAACAGGAAAGAAGGAAAUAUGGGGAAAUGGCAUGAAUGUCAGGUGGAUCAGAGAGAUACAGUCCUGGGGGUCAGGUGUGAUCUGGGAAGGAGUCAGUCAGAGAGCCUUGGGCCAGAGUUCCAGGGGCUCUGGGAGUGGCUGCCCGGUGAGUUGGACAGUCUGAUUUUCAGUGGGGUCCUGCACAGAUGGGACACAGCUUAGGAGG